GAAAUGCGACAAGUAAGGUGAAUGGCAGAAUUCAGUGAAUCAUCGAAUCUUGGAACGCACAUUGCGCCCGCCAGAGUACUGGCGGACAUGCCUGUUCGAGCGUCAUUUCAACCAUCAAGCCCCGCGCUUGUGCUGGGGACCUGCGGCUGCCCGCAGGCUCCGAAACCCAGUGGCGGGCUCGCUGUCACUCCGAGCGUAGUAGUUUACAUCUCGCUCAGGGCGUGCUGCGGGUUCCGGCCGUAAAAACCCCCCCUUACACCAAGGUUGACCUCGGAUCAGGUAGGAAUACCCGCUGAACUUAA
rnacentral:misc_RNA from 1 species